GGCUACUGCUUCGUGUACUACCUGUCCCAGCUCUGCGGAGACCCACAGCGCUUUGAUGACUUUCUCCGAGCCUACGUGGAGAAGUACAAGUUCACCAGCGUGGUGGCCCAGGACCUGCUGGACUCCUUCCUGAGCUUCUUCCCGGAGCUGAAGGAGCAGAGCGUGGACUGCCGGGCAGGUGAGGCUGACCCCCGCCCUGCAGCCAGGGAGCCAUGGGUGUGACGACAGCGGGGCCUCUGCUGCCUGAGGGGCCGCUCCGCCUGGGGGAAAGCCCUGUCAGUUCACUGUCUGUCCCUUCAGCCAACCCUUGCUGGACCAUGUGGGCCCCAGGCCGGUAUGCUAU
rnacentral:sRNA from 1 species